GAUGAAGAACGUAGCGAAAUGCGAUAAGUAGUGUGAAUUGCAGAAUUCAGUGAAUCAUCGAAUCUUUGAACGCACAUUGCGCCCCUUGGUACUCCAUGGGGCAUGCCUGUUCGAGCGUCAUUUACACCCUCAAGCUCAGCUUGGUGUUGGGCGUCUGUCCCGCUUCGUGCGCGGACUCGCCUCAAAUGCAUUGGCAGCGGUCUUGCCAGCUUCUCGCGCAGCACAUUGCGCUUCUAGAGGCUUUGGCGGAUCGGCGUCCAUCAAGUACACCCACAGUUUGACCUCGGAUCAGGUAGGGAUACCCGCUGAACUUAAGCAUAUCAAUAACGGAGGA
rnacentral:misc_RNA from 1 species